AAAUAAAGAAGGAAAUCGUAUUAUUGUUAUUAGUCACUUUUUCCUUGUACACAGCUCUUUAUCGGUACAACGUUAAACACCGUCUGGAAACUAUUAAAAAACUUGUGCCCUUUUCAAAUACACUGUACACAGUUGGCGUUUUCUGAUCACGGUUCGAUUAGAGAUGGAAGUACCCGAAAAAUGAACGUUGACCGACAAUACAUUUAAUGAAGUGUUGACGCAUAAUAAAAUGUGUUUUCUGGUUUUUAACAAAUUGACAAAGUUACUUAAAUGAAACGAGUGAAAAAGAGUUUGCAGACAGAAAGUAUACCCUUAUUGUUGAGUCAAGCGGAGAGGCAGUUCGAUGGUGAUGAUUCCGAUUGCUUCUUGUCCGGUGAUGACAUGACGCCGUUUAAAAAACAUAAUAUUUACUACAAGAGCAGAUGGUCCAGGGUGUCUUCGUUACUGUUUUGUGGAUUUUGUCAAUGGAUCUGGCAAAAAUGUUUCCGCAAAAAAGAACUCUCGUCGAGAACCAUUGUGAUUGGGAAACAGAGUAUAGAAAAAUACUCUCCGAACGUUAUUCGAAAUCAGAAAUACACCAUAAUCACGUUCCUCCCAAAGGUGCUUUACCAACAGUUCAAGUUCUUUUUAAAUCUCUAUUUCCUUUUGAUGGCUAUGAGUCAGUUUGUUCCUGAGCUACGGUUAGGAUAUUUAUACACAUAUUGGGGACCAUUGAUUUUUGUUUUGGCUGUCACAUUGUUUCGCGAAGGAAUUGAUGACAUUCGGCGAUGGCAAAGGGAUGAAGAAGUCAAUUCUCAGAAGUACAAACGUCUCAUACGUGGUAAAGACCAUAAUAUCGGUACAGAAUACGUGUCGUCUUCUAAACUCAAAGUGGGAGACCUGGUGCUAGUCGAAAAAGAUCAAAGGGUUCCGGCCGACAUGGUGCUAUUGAGGACCACUGAAAGAUCUGGUGCUUGUUUUGUGCGAACUGAUCAAAUGGAUGGCGAGACCGAUUGGAAAUUACGUCUCGCGAUUGGAGACACUCAGAAAUUGGACUGCGAAGCUCGUCUAUUUGAUAUCACAGCCACGAUAUUUGCCGAAAAACCACAAAGGGAUAUUCAUAGUUUUAUCGGAACAUUCCGAAGGCAAGACAAUGGUGAAGAAGUUAGCCUUGAUGUAGAAAAUACGCUGUGGGCCAACUGUGUUGUUGCCAAUGGUUCGGCUCUUGGCGCUGUCGUCUACACUGGUGCUGAAACUAGAUCAGUUAUGAAUAAUUCACAGCCCCGAAGUAAAGUUGGUCUGCUAGAUAUCGAAAUCAAUCAAUUGACAAAACUGUUAUUUUGCGCUGUGGUCGGUCUGGCAUUUGUAAUGAUGUGCUUAAAAGGUUUCAAUGGUCCAUGGUACCGUUAUAUGUUUAGAUUCGUUUUACUUUUCUCGUACAUCAUACCAAUCAGUUUGAGAGUAAAUUUAGACAUGGGUAAAGCCUUUUACUCGUGGUCGAUGCAAAGAGAUGAAGAAAUGCCAGACACUGUCGUAAGAUGUACUACCAUACCUGAAGAGCUCGGACGAAUAUCGUAUUUGUUCUCGGACAAGACUGGAACAUUAACACAAAACUCGAUGGUCUUCAAAAGGUUACAUCUAGGAACUGUGUCUUAUGGAGCAGAGUCCUUCGACCAAGUUUCCGAACAAUUGAAAAUGACAUUUUGUGGAGCAGUCGAGCCAACUCACAAUAGAAAUUUAUCUCAAGGCUCCACGUCAUUCAAGAUCAGACGUUCCGAGCAAUCUCGACUCCACGACGCUGUUAAAGCUAUCGCUUUGUGUCACAAUGUCACGCCUGUUAUAGAAAACAACGUUCAAGGAAAUAUUACUGAUAGUCCAGUUGAACUCCGUUCAGAAGCCGAUCAGCAUUACAUAAAAGAAGGUCUUCUGUCUCGUUCACAGUGCACUUACCAAGCUUCGAGUCCUGACGAAAUUGCAUUAGUCAAGUGGACAGAAGACGUAGGAUUGGCUGUAAUUAAAAGGGAUUUGACGUCUCUCAAAUUAAGAACAUCUACUGGAGAUAUACUAAACUAUACUAUACUCCAAAUGUUUCCGUUUACGUCUGAAACUAAGCGCAUGGGAAUAAUUGUUAAAGACACCUCAUCGGGUGAAAUUACAUUUUAUCUGAAAGGAGCUGAUGUGGUUAUGUCAUCCAUUGUGCAAUACACAGACUGGCUUGAAGAAGAAUGCGGCAAUAUGGCACGAGAAGGCCUACGCACGUUGGUAGUGGCUAGAAAAAAUCUUACAGAAGAACAAUAUUUAGAGUUUGAAUCACGGUUGAAUUCAGCAAGGUUGGCCGUAACUGGACGCGCUCAGCGAGUGGGAAAUGUGGUGGACACCUUAGAACGUGAAAUGGAAUUGUUGUGCGUCACUGGUGUUGAAGAUAAACUUCAAGUUGACGUGCGAAGGACAUUAGAGCUGUUAGGAAAUGCUGGAAUCAAAAUAUGGAUGUUGACUGGUGACAAACAAGAAACAGCAACAUGUAUUGCGAAAAGCUCUCGCCUUGUUUCACGAACACAAGAACUGUUCAUCUUUGCUCCAGUUCAUACCAGAACUGAGGCCCAUCAACAACUAAACGCUUUUAGGAAAAAACAAGAUUGCGCUCUGGUCAUUACCGGCGAUUCUCUUGAGAUUUGUCUCCAAUAUUAUCAAACCGAAUUGCUGGAUGUAGCGUGCCGUAGUCCGGCUGUUAUAUGCUGUAGAUGUUCACCAACGCAAAAAGCGCAAAUUGUCACCCUUAUCAAAGCACAUACAGGAAAAAGGACUGCUGCCGUUGGUGACGGAGGAAACGACGUGUCAAUGAUCCAGGCCGCUGACACUGGAAUUGGUAUUGCUGGCGUCGAAGGUCGACAAGCCUCACUAGCUGCAGAUUUCUCGGUCCCUCAGUUUUCACACUUGGCACGGUUACUUAUGGUGCACGGACGAUACAGCUACAAACGAUCAGCCUCGCUCAGUCAAUUUGUCAUACACAGAGGUCUCAUUAUAUCUACUAUGCAAGCAAUAUUCUCCGCCGUAUUUUACUUCUCGUCGGUCACUUUAUACCAAGGAUUUCUCAUGAUAGGGUAUGCAACAAUAUAUACAAUGUUUCCUGUGUUUUCAUUGGUACUCGACAAAGAUGUUUUAGCGAAAAUAGCUCUGACCUACCCCGAACUCUACAAAGAGCUUAGCAAAGGACGAUCAUUGUCAUAUAAAACGUUUUUCAUUUGGGUUCUGAUCAGCAUUUAUCAAGGCGGUGUUAUUAUGUAUGGAGCAUUGUUUUUGUUCGAAGAUGAAUUCAUCCAUAUUGUCGCCAUUAGUUUCACGGCGUUGAUUUUAACGGAAUUAAUUAUGGUCGCUUUGACUGUUCGGACGUGGCAUUACUUGAUGUUGUUGGCCGAGUUAUUUAGCUUAGCUAUUUACAUAUUGUCCUUAAUAUUACUCAAAGACUAUUUCGAUUCUAAUUUCAUUCAAACUGAAUCGUUCCUUUGGAAGGUCACCGUAAUUACAUUGGUCAGCUGUCUGCCGUUAUACAUACUGAAAUUCUUGAGGAAAAAGUUUUCUCCUCCUAGUUAUUCCAAGUUGUCAUAGACUGUACCGCUUCAAACGAUAAAAGGUAUUUAAGAGACUGUAUUAGACAUAGAAAAAAAAUAUAUCAUGGACAAUUAGUUUGCAUUUGCACUGUAAUAAGAAGCAUUUCAUCAAUUAAAGAGCACAACUGAUACUAAUUAUACUAAGUACAAUAUUAGAAGAUAAUAAAAAUAUAUUAUAUUUUAAUCGUAAUACUAAAUAUUUAUAUUUUUUAAUUAUUAAGAUAAAAGAAAAAAAAAACUAUCAAUUUAAUUAUAAUUAUUAUGUUUUUUUUUAUUAUCUGAUUGCGUUUUCUUAAUUACGAUUCCUCUAUUUUUUAUUUGUUAAUAUUUUUGUUGUAAUUUUGUGUUUUGCUUAGUUUUUGUUAAUGUUAAAAAACCUAUUCUGUGAUUCAUAAUUAAUUAAAAAUUUGUUAUCCCAACUCCUAUUUCACUACUGAACAUUACUCAAUUACGUACAUUUUUAAGUUAUAAUCAAAUCAUCAAAAGGCAUUAUUUAUAUGCCCUUAUUUCAUUCAGAGUAGGAUUAUGUUUAACGUGGUUAUACUUAAUAGAAGACUCUAAACUAACACAUUUGUGUAUUUAAAUGAAUUAUUUCUCUUUUUAAUAUGUUUUAGAAUUAGCGUAAAGACUGUAAACACAGAGUUUGUUAAAUGGUAAUAAUAAUAUACUAAAAAAUUUGGACCUAAAAAGCAAACAUUAAUGCUCAACUCGAAACUAAAUUUUAAGAACUAUUUUUAUUACAAAAAGGAUAUUAUAUUGCAAUGUAUCACCAAUAGUAUAUUUAAAUUUAUUUUAUCCGAAUUUGAAUGAUUUAAUAAAUUAACUCGUUUUUAAGUUGUUAUAAAAUCGAAAUUGUCACCAGUACUUAUAUAUUAUUUAUAAAUUUAAGUUUUGAGAAGGAAAAACAGUCUAUAACAGCUGCAUACAAAUAAAUGCUUAUUUUACAUGAUUAAUAAUUUUUUAGCACGAUAAACUUAAUAAAAAUUAGUAUAAAAAAAAAAUCCAUGACAAUUGAUGUAUUUAGUCAUUAUUCUGUUGUACGAAAUCUGUUUCUUCGAUAAGUUUUCCAUUAUAAUUCAACAAUCAUAUUCACAACCAGUAGUAUAGCCAUAAAAAAGUGAGUAUCGUGUGUACUCACUUGCCAUUUUACUAUAACAUGUUAACUCGUGACAAAAAAUGGCAGUUAGUAAACACAGUGUAUGCCUUAGACUACACUUAUUCACGACUAAAUUGUUAAAUGUAUACAAAAAUUUACAUUGACACUUAAAUUUUUUUUUAUUAUUUUCUCUUGACAGAUGUUGGUUGUGUUUAUGCGUUAUAUUAUUUAUUUUUUUCUAGUUCUCAUUAUCGCAUUGAUUUUUUUCUAAGAAUGAUAAAAUUAAGAAUGUUUUGUUACCCACCCUAUAUACAUAUAUUUAUAUUUAUUGCGUGAUGACCUUAAGUAUAUAAUAAAUUGUAAUUACACUAUGUGAUAUAAAUUAAUAAUGUUUCGAUAUAAUUAAAUUUAUUAAUUGGUAUAAUAAAGAUAAAAAUCGCACUAUCAUAAAAUAUUAUUGUGUAAUUAAAUUAUUAUUUAAUAUAAUUA